rnacentral:pre_miRNA from 1 species
GAGCCAAUGCUAUGUGGAAGACUUGUGAUUUUGUUGUUCUGAUAUGAUAUGACAACAAGUCACAGCCAGCCUCAUAGAGUGGACUC